rnacentral:rRNA from 2 species
CGGCGAACGGGUGAGUAACACGUGGGUGAUCUGCCCUGCACUUCGGGAUAAGCCUGGGAAACUGGGUCUAAUACCGGAUAUGACCUCCUAUCGCAUGGUGGGUGGUGGAAAGAUUUAUCGGUGCAGGAUGGGCCCGCGGCCUAUCAGCUUGUUGGUGGGGUAAUGGCCUACCAAGGCGACGACGGGUAGCCGACCUGAGAGGGUGACCGGCCACACUGGGACUGAGACACGGCCCAGACUCCUACGGGAGGCAGCAGUGGGGAAUAUUGCACAAUGGGCGAAAGCCUGAUGCAGCGACGCCGCGUGAGGGAUGACGGCCUUCGGGUUGUAAACCUCUUUCAGCAGGGACGAAGCGCAAGUGACGGUACCUGCAGAAGAAGCACCGGCUAACUACGUGCCAGCAGCCGCGGUAAUACGUAGGGUGCAAGCGUUGUCCGGAAUUACUGGGCGUAAAGAGUUCGUAGGCGGUUUGUCGCGUCGUUUGUGAAAACCAGCAGCUCAACUGCUGGCUUGCAGGCGAUACGGGCAGACU